ACUCAAUGCACCCCUUACACACAUUCAAUGCAUCCCAUACAUACACAGAAACACACCUUGCAGCCCUUACACAUACAAACACAGUUUCACACAAUGCAUUCCUUACACACAUAUCAGGACAUCCCCUACACACUCCACCCCCUGUGAACAAACUCAUUGGUGGAACAUGAAGGUGGACCCUGGGACCCAGACCUUGAGCUGUG